rnacentral:rRNA from 1 species
GACGAACGCUGGCGGCGUGCCUAACACAUGCAAGUCGAGCGGAGAUUAUAGUAAUAUAAUCUUAGCGGCGGACGGGUGAGUAACGCGUGGGAAAUCUGCCUCUAACUGGGGGAUAACACAGGGAAACUUGUGCUAAUACCGCAUAACGUCACACGAUGGCAUCAUGGAGUGACCAAAGGAGUAAUCCGGUGAGAGAUGAUCCCGCGUCCGAUUAGCUAGUUGGUAGGGUAACGGCCUACCAAGGCGACGAUCGGUAGCCGAACUGAGAGGUUGAUCGGCCACAUUGGGACUGAGACACGGCCCAGACUCCUACGGGUGGCAG